AGCGAACGCUGGCGGCAGGCCUAACACAUGCAAGUCGAACGAACUCUUCGGAGUUAGUGGCGGACGGGUGAGUAACACGUGGGAACGUGCCUUUUGGUUCGGAAUAACUCAGGGAAACUUGUGCUAAUACCGAAUGUGCCCUUCGGGGGAAAGAUUUAUCGCCAUUAGAGCGGCCCGCGUCUGAAUAGCUAGUUGGUGAGGUAACGGCUCACCAAGGCGACGAUCAGUAGCUGGUCUGAGAGGAUGACCAGCCACACUGGGACUGAGACACGGCCCAGACUCCUACGGGAGGCAGCAGUGGGGAAUCUUGCGCAAUGGGCGAAAGCCUGACGCAGCCAUGCCGCGUGAAUGAUGAAGGUCUUAGGAUUGUAAAAUUCUUUCACCGGGGACGAUAAUGACGGUACCCGGAGAAGAAGCCCCGGCUAACUUCGUG
rnacentral:rRNA from 1 species